rnacentral:tRNA from 1 species
GCCCUUGUGGUGUAGUGGUCAGCACGCUCGGCGCAUAUUCCAGAUGUCCGUGGUUCGAAUCCCGGCGAGGGCG